AUGAACGCUGGCGGCGUGCUUCACCCAUGCAAGUCGCACGAUGAAGCCCAGCUUGCUGGGUGGAUUGUGGCGAACGGGUGAGUAACACGUGAGUAACCUGCCCUUAACUCUGGGAUAAGCCUGGGAAACUGGGUCUAAUACCGGAUAGGAGCGUCCACCGCAUGGUGGGUGUUGGAAAGAUUUAUCGGUUUUGGAUGGACUCGCGGCCUAUCAGCUUGUUGGUGAGGUAAUGGCUCACCAAGGCGACGACGGGUAGCCGGCCUGAGAGGGUGACCGGCCACACUGGGACUGAGACACGGCCCAGACUCCUACGGGAGGCAGCAGUGGGGAAUAUUGCACAAUGGGCGAAAGCCUGAUGCAGCGACGCCGCGUGAGGGAUGACGGCCUUCGGGUUGUAAACCUCUCUCAGUAGGGAAGAAGCGAAAGUGACAGUACCUGCAGAAGAAGCACCGGCUAACUACGUG
rnacentral:rRNA from 1 species